rnacentral:tRNA from 1 species
ACUUAAAUAGCUUAUAAUAAGAGUAUAAUAUUGAAGAUAUUAAGGAGAUUAAUAAAUCUUUAAGUA